rnacentral:rRNA from 1 species
CCUACGGGUGGCAGCAGUCGAGAAUCAUUCACAAUGGAGGCAACCCUGAUGCUGCAACGCCGCGUGAAGGAAUGAAGUUCUUCGAAUUGUAAGCCCCUGUCAUGUGGGAGCAGAUUAAGACGGUACUACCGCAAGAAGAAUAGACGACUAACGCGGUUCCAGCAGCGGCGGUAAUACGGAGGUCUAAGUCGUUGUUCGGAAUCACUGGGCGUAAAGGGGGCGUAGGCUGUUUAGUAAGUCGGGGGCGAAAGGCGCGGGCUCAACCUCGGCACGGCCCAUAAAACUGCAGGACUAGGGUACUGGAGGGGGAAACGGAAGUCGCGGUGUAGCAGUGAAAUGCGUAGAUAUCGAGAGGAACACUCGUGGCGAAGGCGGGUUCCUGGACAGUAACUGACGCUGAGGCACGAAGGCGAGGGGAGCGAAAGGGAUUAGAUACCCGAGUAGUC